UGAAACAAGGGGGAGGUUCAUGGAGGCUGCAGUAGAGAAUAUUAUGCAAUAUACAAAAGUAUGACAUAAAGCACAAACAGAAGGCCUGUCAAAUUAAGUGCCAGCAGUCGCGGUUAAACUUAAAAUAUGGCAAAGUUUUUAUUGUAAAGGCGUAGAGCGUGUGUAAGCAUGAAUGUAAAAUUAAUGAAUUUAAUUAAAAUACUUUUUUUCUAAGUAUAAGGAAUAAAGAUUCAUAAAUUAAAUAAUACCAUAAAAGAGAAAAAUAAAAUAUAGUUGUAGCGGUUUAAUGCUUAUAUAAAUAUUAGAAUUAAAAAAUAACUAAAUUUUUCAUAAGGUAACUAGCUGAUACACUAAAGUGUGGAUAGUAAAGGGGGCUGGUGGCCCAGUAGCCCAUACUGUAAACAACGAAGUUAGGUAGAAUGACCUGUUUAAUCAAAGUUUCGCCUGAGUAGUACGAUCGCAAGAUUAAAAUUCAAAAAAUUUGACUGUUCCCUAUUUUAUUAGAGGAGCGUGUGGUUUAAUUCGAUGGUCCGCGAAACACCUUACCUCAGUUUGAAUCAAGGCAAGAUGACAAGUAUUGCAUGGCCGUCGUCAGUUGGUGUGUUAAACAAUUUAGAAACAGACCCAACCCAUAUAUUGUGGACGAAGUCAGGUAUUAUGGUCUUUAUAGUGAGGGAUACCAUUCGCUACAUUUUCUAUUACAACGUAGAAGUAAAUAGAGUUCGGAAGUAAUUGGGAGAAAACUACGGAAGUUGGAUUUAAUAGUAAUCGGAAAGUAGAGCGUUCUGGUGAAUUUUUUAGUGUUAGUACAAAUCGCCCGUCACCUUCGCCUAAUAAGUGUUUGAAAGUGAGAUUUCACAACAACAUUACAAGGGAGCCAAGUCGUAACAU
rnacentral:rRNA from 1 species